rnacentral:rRNA from 1 species
GCUUACGGCCAUAUCAGCCUGGGUACGCCCGAUCUCGUCUGAUCUCGGAAGCUAAGCAGGGUCGGGCCUGGUUAGUAUUUGGAUGGGAGACCGCCUGGGAAUACCAGGUGCUGUAAGCA